GACGUAGGGCGCAAGCGUUGUCCGGAUUUAUUGGGCGUAAAGAGCUCGUAGGCGGUUCAUUGCGUCAAUCGUGAAAUCCUGUGGCUCAACUACAGGCUUGCGGUUGAUACGGGUGGGCUGGAGUUCGGUAGGGGAGACUGGAAUUCCUGGUGUAGCGGUGAAAUGCGCAGAUAUCAGGAGGAACACCGGUGGCGAAGGCGAGUCCCUGGACAGGUCCUGACGCUGAGGCACGAAAGCUAGGGGAGCAAACAGG
rnacentral:rRNA from 1 species